rnacentral:rRNA from 1 species
GGUAAGGCCCCUUCGGGGGUACACGAGUGGCGCACGGGUGCGUAACGCGUAUACAACUUACCCUUUAGUGGAGGAUAGCCUGGAGAAAUUCAGAUUAAUACUCCAUAUGCUCACGGAACAGCAUUGUUUUGUGGGGAAAGCUCCGGCGCUAAGGAUGGGUAUGCGUGACAUUAGUUAGUUGGUGAGGUAACGGCUCACCAAGACUACAUGUCUAGCUGGUCUGAGAGGAUGAUCAGCCACACUGGAACUGAGACACGGUCCAGACUCCUACGGGAGGCAGCAGUAGGGAAUAUUGGACAAUGGGGGCAACCCUGAUCCAGUCAUGCCGCGUGGAGGAAGACGGCCCUCUGGGUUGUAAACUCCUUUUAGCAGGGGAUAAACCGGCGCUAUACGCGCCGCUGAAGGUACCUGCAGAAUAAGCACCGGCUAACUCCGUGCCAGCAGCCGCGGUAAUGCGGAGGGUGCAAGCGUUGUCCGGAUUUAUUGGGUUUAAAGGGUGCGUAGGCGGAUUUAUAAGUCAGUGGUGAAAGCCUGCGGCUCAACCGUAGAAUUGCCAUUGAAACUGUAGAUCUUGAGUAUAAUCGAGGUGGUUGGAAUACGUAGUGUAGCGGUGAAAUGCAUAGAUAUUACGUAGAACACCAAUUGCG